GUCCUGGCUGUAAAACGGUGCGCGUUUGCUGUAAGAGGAUUCGACCCCUCUUGUGGCGAAGCUAACGCGUUAAACGCGCCGCCUGGGGAGUACGGUCGCAAGAUUAAAACUCAAAGAAAUUGACGGGGGCCUGCACAAGCGGUGGAGUAUGUGGCUUAAUUCGAUGCAACGCGAAGAACCUUACCUGGCCUUGACAUGCACGUAGUAGAACCCCGAAAGGGGGACGAGGUAGCAAUACCAGCGUGCACAGGUGCUGCAUGGCUGUCGU
rnacentral:rRNA from 1 species